rnacentral:rRNA from 1 species
UACGUAGGGGGCGAGCGUUGUCCGGAUUUAUUGGGCGUAAAGAGCUCGUAGGCGGCUUGUCGCGUCGACUGUGAAAUCCCGCGGCUCAACUGCGGGUCUGCAGUCGAUACGGGCAGGCUAGAGUUCGGUAGGGGGAGACUGGAAUUCCUGGUGUAGCGGUGAAAUGCGCAGAUAUCAGGAGGAACACCGAUGGCGAAGGCAGGUCUCUGGGCCGAUACUGACGCUGAGGAGCGAAAGCGUGGGGAGCGAACAGG